UACGUAGGGGGCAAGCGUUGUCCGGAUUUAUUGGGCGUAAAGAGCGUGUAGGCGGUUUGGUAGGUCCGCUGUGAAAACUCGAGCUCAACCUCGAGACGCCGGUGGAAACCAUCAGACUAGAGUCCGGAAGAGGAGAGUGGAAUUCCUGGUGUAGCGGUGAAAUGCGCAGAUAUCAGGAGGAACACCGGUGGCGAAGGCGGGUCUCUGGGCCGAUACUGACGCUGGAGGAGCGAAAGCCGUGGGGAGC
rnacentral:rRNA from 1 species